rnacentral:rRNA from 1 species
CCUACGGGCGGCAGCAGUGGGGGAUAUUGGACAAUGGGGGGGAACCCUGAUCCAGCGACGCCGCGUGAGUGAAGAAGUAUUUCGGUAUGUAAAGCUCUGUCAGCAGGGAAGAAAGCAAUGACGGUACAUGACCAAGAAGCCCCGGCUAACUACGUGCCAGCAGCCGCGGUAAUACGUAGGGGGCAAGCGUUAGCCGGAAUUACUGGGGGUAAAGGGGGCGUAGACGGCUGUGCAAGUCUGGAGUGAAAGGCGGGGGCCCAACCCGCGAACUGCUCUGGAAACUGUAUGGCUGGAGUGCAGGAGAGGUAGGCGGAAUUCCUGGUGUAGCGGUGAAAUGCGUAGAGAUUAGAAGGAACACCAGUGGCGAAGGCGGCUUACUGGACUAUAACUGACGUUGAGGCUCGAAAGCGUGGGGAGCAAACAGGAUUAGAUACCCGAGUAGUC